GGGCACAUGGUCUAGUUGGUUAUGACGCCCACAAUCACGAGACGUCAGAUAGGCGGCUUUAAAAAUGUGAAGCGUGGGAGAGCUAGGUUCAAAUCCUUUGUGUGUCCA